rnacentral:rRNA from 1 species
GCCUACAGUCAAAUCACCCAGAAUGCGCCCCAUCUCUCGUCAGAUAUCAGAAGCCAAGCAGAUGUGAGCCUGGAUAAUGCUUGGAUGGGCCACCACCAUGCAAAACAGGUUGUUAGAGGCU